UACAGAGGUCCCAAGCGUUGUUCGGAUUCACUGGGCGUAAAGGGUGCGUAGGUGGUGAGGUAAGUCGGAUGUGAAAGCUCCGAGCUCAACUCGGAAAUGGCAUUGGAAACUACCUUGCUCGAGGGUUUGAGGGGGGACUGGAAUACUUGGUGUAGCAGUGAAAUGCGUAGAUAUCAAGUAGAACACCGGUGGCGAAGGCGGGUCUCUGGGCAACAACUGACGCUGAGGAGCGAAAGCGUGGGGAGCGAACAGG
rnacentral:rRNA from 1 species